UACGUAGGGAGCAAGCGUUGUUCGGAUUUACUGGGCGUAAAGGGCGCGUAGGCGGCAACUCAAGUCAGCUGUGAAAUCUCCGGGCUUAACUCGGAACGGUCAGCUGAUACUGUUUUGCUAGAGUGCGGAAGGGGCAAUCGGAAUUCUCGGUGUAGCGGUGAAAUGCGUAGAUAUCGAGAGGAACACCAGAGGUGAAGACGGGUUGCUGGGCCGACACUGACGCUGACAGCGCGAAAGCCAGGGGAGCAAACGGG
rnacentral:rRNA from 1 species